ensembl:lncRNA
GAUGGGGGCUGAAUCAAAGACUCGUCUCCUGCCGUGUGCACCAAGUGUGGGACUGAACAGAAGAGCACUCUCUCAGUGUGUAAGCCCAUGGUGAUGAAACAUUCACAAGCACUUCCUCUACACACUCAAGGACAAGUGUGACUACAGGGGCAACAGGGGCUUCAAACCAAAUAAGAGGUAUUUCUUGUAACCAGUAGACAAAGUGCAUUUUUUUUCGUUGUUGUUGUAUUUGGUACAAAAGUAUGGAACAAAGAAGGCGUGGUUUCUACAUAGCACUUAGCAAGAGCCAAUGCUCUUCAAUGCCAACAAAUUACACAUGGACAUGUGAAACUGACAAAAAGCAACGAUGAAAAGCAAUCUACCGAACUUACUCUAAACGGAUUUUGCCGUUUCUUUCCUUCUUCGUCUUCGUCCUUCCACAGUCUUUCAACUUUGAAGUCAGACAUUUCGAAAAAUGGUAGCAAAUUGAAAGGAUGUCUGAUGAGGAAAAAAAAAAACACCACAACAAGACUGAAGUGUUCAUGUAUUUUUUUGUUUUUUUUUUCUUUAAGAUGAUAUAUAUCAAAGUAAAUAUCACUGUUACAGUACUCCAAAAUCAUUAGCCUUUUGUCUGGAGAUGCUAGACGUGUUGUAAUGUUUCUAAUGGAUUCUGCGGGGCCCCCUGCCCUGGCGGCCCCGCCUACCUGUAUGAUAAGUGUGGCCAUUGAGUGCCUAUCUGCUGUGGCGCCUCAGGUGCCCACACUCUGACUUUUGACCCGCUGUGCCAGGCCGGCGCACCAGAUGCCAGAACGGACCCGCCUGGGGCCGGAGCAGUGGCUCCUUCAGACCUGGCCAAUCAGUACGUACUACUACUGCGCCAGCACUCGACCUCGUCUCAACUUCACUCUCAUAGACUCUCUUUCUCCCUCUCAUGCAAAGAUCACUUUAGCUGGAAGUGGACAGGUUCGUUUUAUGUACUUGUUACCAUCGAUUGGGUUUUCCCUUCUGGAAUUGCCAGUGUUUUUUUGUUUUGUUGGUUUUUUUGGUCAACAUUGCUGUUGUUAUCGUCGUUGCUGUUGUUGAUGUUAUAUGGUUAUUUUGCGCUUUUUCGGUUUAUGUGUGUGUCAAUGCAGUGGUCUCUAUGGUAGCUGCUCUCACCAGCCCCUCUUGCUGCACAUAUGCAGAAACACUCUGAUUAAGAGGCACACCUCAGCGUAAACGGCGGCGCCAAUUGAUCCAGAAUCACUCGUAGUGACGGAAAUGGGUUGUUUUGAGGACGGAGCGCACGUAGUGGCGAAAGGAAGAGUAGGUCGAUGGUGCUCAGUUUGUGUUCUGCCUCUCCUCUGCACGUUCCUCCGCUCCGGUGUCGCAGCCCCGCCAGGCCACACACUCACACUGGUGCUUACGACAAAGGGCAGGCAGAGUACACUACUUUACCUGGUCGCCUCUUCUCGCAGUAAUAAAAGCAAAUGAUAACGGAGACUCGGUUCUCCACUUCUAUGCAAAGACCGACCGAGAGGUGCAGUUCACGGCCUUCAAUCUGUAGUUCUCUCCAAGCCCACUCUUCAGCUAACCAGGUGAUUGUGAGAAGGCAGCUUCCUUAAAGUGUGGCCUAAAGUAAGAAACCGGCCCGAUGACCAGGCCUUCACUGUUUACUCUCUGAAUGAUCUCUUACAUUAUGUACAUGCAGUCUCAGGGCAGCCUCAGAGAACCCCAAACUGUUUUAUCGUUACGAGGAGGGCGCUAUUGCAUUAUCCGAUGUGGCUUUAAAGAUGCUAAAUGGGUGGGCGAGUGGACUCGGAGAAGGAUUCGCAGGAAGUCCCUCUGGUUUUUUUAUUUUUUAUUUUCUAGAUCCUAAUGUACCUAUUCUCGAUCGUAGACCUAACCUAGACAUGAGUCUAUCAGAGUGGAACUUCCUCUUUAUUGAAAUUUGUUUUGAUGUUUGUAAAGAGCACAUGGAGAUGGAGAGGUAGAAUGCAGGUUGGCACCAAGACAGACGGGUAGCACCUUGUCCCGGGUCUCAAAUAUGUACGUCUGGGAGGACUGCUGACAAUUAAACAGGGAAUCCAGAAUGUUUAGGUGCACUGUAGAUGGUUCACAUUUGGGUACAUCUUUUCUUUUUCUUUAAACCAAAAAAGGUUUUUGUCUGAUUAUUAUUAUUAUUAUUAUUAUUAUUAUUAAUAUUGUUGAAAAAGGAAACUUUAAUUCUGUACACUCUUGACUGAAGUGCUUCUCUCUGCAAGCCUGUGACGCCCUGAAGUGGCGGACAGAUGACUCUGGGGUUGCUGUUUUGAUGGUAUUAAAUUCUGUCCUGACCCGAUAGUAGGGGAACGGUGCAGAUUUUUUCUUUUUCUUUUCUUUUCUUGUUUUUUUUUUUUUUUAACAGGUCCAGGUCCAUUUGGACCUAUUGUAUCAGGAGGCCUGGGGCACAUGCCAGCUGAUACCAAGUCUUAAAAGGGGAAAAUACCUUUUUUUCACACUCGAGUGACACUAGCAACAAUCACUAUUGCCUGUUUUUGAAAAUAUAUAUAUUUUUAACUGCCUUUCUGUAAGCUGUACUCGAGACCACGAAAAACAAACGUCCAAAACAUGUUUAAAAUCCAGAGGAUUGCCUGGCAGACUAGCUAGCUAGCCAACAAGUGCCCACUGUGUCCUCCACUGUGGGCAUAUACUGGGUCUUAUUGAUAGGACUAAUGUAUCCUAGCUCCACGGCUCAGAUGCAACUUUGUUUAGAUAAAAAUCACAGGGCAUGGGUGGAGAUGAGCUCUAAGAAACACAAAUCCUCUUUCUUAGGGUCCUGACUAGAAUAUGCACAUGCUGGUUGAUAUACAUGUACAUCUGAAAUCCUGUGUAUGUAUAUAACCAGUUAUCUUUUUUUGUGUAUUUACCUUUACUUUGGUUUUCAGGCCCGAGUAACCCCCUGUUUCCGUCUAUCCAUAAAUUUACCGAGAUGAUAAAAAGCAUAAACAUAUCAAAAUGAUACAAAUUAAAAAAACAAAUACUUGAAUCAUAAAAAGCGCCAAUAAUGUAAUGUGAAUUUUUUUUUUUUUUGUAAUUUUGUCAUUCAUACACUUCCAAGCUUUUUGAUAACAUCAGUUCAAACUGAACGAAAAAAAAAAAAAAAAAACAAACAAAAAAAAACGCAAAGUGACAUCGGUUGUGAGUGUUUGCACAAGAUUGCGUGUACUGUAUGACGGAUGAAUGCGUUCAAUUGCCUGUGUGAGUGGGUUCAAACCAAUGUAUGCUAGUGAUUACUGUGGAUCUGUUUGCGCCUUUGUUUCAUUUUAAGCAUCUUGAGUUUUUUUGUUGGCUAGUCAAAAAUAUAUUCGUAUGUGUAUUGUUAUGGUAUUUGUUCUUAGCUUUGUUAUUAGAGUUGCACUGAGUGUCUGCUUCCCCUCAUUCAGCUAAUCGUACAACAUGAUAUUAAAGUACUGAGGGGACAAGGUGACAAUUCAUGUGUUAAUGUUUACUCAAGGACUUAUUGAGAAAAAUAACAAGUGUGUGUGUGUUUUAUUUUUUAUCUAUAAUACGAUUAUCUACCUUAUAGUGGCUUUUAUUGUGGAAUAAUCCAUGAUAAAGAAAUGGAUUAUUUUGAGUAUUGCACCAUUUUGUUUUUCAGAUUAUGAACAGAAAAAAAAUGCAAAAUUCUAACAAAAAAAAAAAAGAUUAUAUAAAAUGUGGGGAUUUUUUUUUUUUUUCGAAGAACUGUGGCCAUAGAUCGAUGUAGAGGGACUUAUGUAACUCCCCAUGUUACACCAUGAUGAGCUGGAUAGACAUCUGGAGAAGAGUUUGUUACAAGACUCAUUUCAGAGUUCAAGGGACUAUGGGAUUGUCAUGAGAAGAGACAUAUACUUCCAUCAGAUGAAUAACAAAAACACUUUACGGAAUGAAGAUUAUUGUGCUACUUGCAGAACUCUGGGAUUGAUCAGUGUUGUCAUGUUUUUGUUCUUUUUUAUUUAUGUUGGCUAUGUUGCUUUCAUAGAUUAUCAAAGCCUGUAUUUUUUAUUUUUUUCAAAGCAAAAAAACAUUUCCUUUGUUGAAAAAAAAAGAGAAAAGACAUAAAUGUUCACUAUCUUGCACACACAAAAAGUGGAUCAUGUCUCAGGAAGGCAAGGGUUCCAGAGUACCAACUCCACGCCAUUUAAUGUUCGUUUUUAGAGAAAGGGGAUAACAGAAGAAAAAAAAAAAAAAACGUAAGCACUGAAGGGUUAUGGAUUUCAGAAGAAGAAAAUACCUUUGUUUCUAAAUCCGUAGCAGUUACAUAUUUACCAAAUAAUGAACUCUUAAUGAACUUUAAAAAAUGGAGUGCUUUAUAUAUAUGAAUCUAUAUAUUGAAAUUGCUUUACAUUUUAAACAAAAUGAUCAAUGAUUUUGAUUGUUCAAAAGACAGUGAAAGAACAUACAAAUGCUGUAUGUUUGAAUCUUUAUUGUAUUUUCUUAACAUGAGGUCCCUUCCUGUUGAAAUCAGGACCAUUGUGCAUUACUAUUUCUUUCCUCUUUGUCAUUCUGUCUCUUGUGGCGGGUAUUACAUAAUGAGAAAUUAAAAAGAGGAGUUGGGGGGUGGGGGGGGUUCUGUAUCAAAUUGAUCGAUUUAAAAAAGAAAAAAAAAAGCUGGUUUAUACGGAUCAUGAUCUAUGCACAAGGGGAUGGGCUUCUUAAAGCCUCUGUGACCCAUCUGUCAUUGGGAUGAGAGGGGUUCUUUCUGUGUCUUUUUAUUGUGCUCAUUUGCUCUGUUGUCUCCCUCCCCCACAGACCCCAUCUUAUUUCCCAUUUUUCAUGUUUCUUACAUACAGUACAUCGCCAUGCUGUGUAUUCCUAAACCAAUGAACGUCUCAUUCUGAAGCACUGUGGGGUUUUUUUGUAGCCCAUGACUUUCAAGGUUGUCUGUGUUCUGCGUGCAUGUGUGUGUGUGCGUGCGUGACUGAGUGUGUGCUGCUGGGAUGAGUGUGGAUGGAGAUACUGGGUUGAUACUUUUGCCUUUUGAUUUUAAAUGUUAAGGAAUAAGUCUGUACUGAGAUUUUAAGAAGUCAGUGGCUUUUAAUGUUUUUGUUUUCUCUCUCUUUUUCUCUCCUCAUAGAAUGUGAUUGUUGACAUGCACCGAAAAAAAAUGUUUUGAACUAUGGAGCUUCUUUCAAACAAUUAAUAAAUUGCAAUUUUUGUUCUUGGCUG